GGGCGGGGCCAGAGGCAGGCAGCCGCGUGUUACCAGGCAACCGGCACUGUCGGUGACGUCACCGGCCGGCGGCGGCCAUCAAUUCCCCUCCCGGUGGCGCGGGCGGGCUCGGCCGCUUGCCUCCUCCUCCCCCGGGCCCGGAUGAGAUCACCGCGACGGGCGGCCGGCUGUCCCCACGCUCCCAACAAAUCGACUCCUCGGCGAGCGCCGGCAUCUCAUGAUCUCAUGGCCCCGCGGGACGGCGCCGGCCGAUGAGGUCACAGCCCCGCGCCCCCGGCCGCCCGGGUCUGCCUGCGGACUCCCGGCCGGGACCUCGGGUCGCCCGGCGCCGGUACCAAGCCCCCAGCCUCCGGCUCUUCGGCCUCCGCGGACAAAGGAGGUCAGUAAGGAAGAAGACAUCAAAACUACAAAAAAGCAGACACAAGGAAAAUGAGGAAAUGGUAACCACAAAACUGGUUUCUUAUUCGCAACCGGAAGAAGGGAGGUAGAUGGAACCCAGGAGGGAAGGAGGACCAUCGGAGGAAAUGGAGAACAGUGCGGGACCCACCGACAGCACUGGAAGCCAACCCCAGAAAGCCAGCAGAGAGAGUGGCAGACUCCAGGCCCCCACCCGGAGGGAAGAGGUGAAAAGGAUGCCUCCGAGGCCACCUCAGGGAGCCUGGCUGCCUCUCUAAUCAUUUAGCUGGAGGAGAGCAAAAUAAUCACCACUUAGCUGACUAAUUAAUCCCCACAGCACCCUAGAGUAGGGGUUGCCAAUGCUCAGCCAUAAUGUGGCCCAGAAAGCUACAGCAGGGUGGGCCUAGGGGCCAGGGACUGGGGCCUCCCUGCCGUGCCCUGAAUGCAAACUCACACCAGCCAUUUACAUCUCUCAUCUGCUCAUUUGAGAGUCACUGCACACCUACUAUGCAUCACUGUGCCUAAGCAUGAGCUUGGCAGACAUCACCCCUGCCCUCCUGGAGCUUAGAGUCUGGGAGGGAGGAGACAUUCACCAGUUAUCUGGGAAAAUGCACAGGCCAAACGGCUUCCCACUUUGGUGCUGUGGCUCUAGCUGUCCCCUCUCCGUGGCUUGGCUUUGCCUGGCUAACCCCUACCCGUCCUUUAAAAUUCAGUUCCAAGGUCACCUUAUCUAGGAAGACUUUGCUAGGGACUGGUUUAGGUGCCCCCCUGCCCAAUUUCCAAGAGGGCCCUACUUCUCUGCCUGCCGCCCCAUCAGUCUGUGAGCUUUGAGCUUGAAAGUCCUGGGUCUCAGUAUCUCCCGUGCUGAGCAGGGUGACUGGCACUCUGUCGAUGUCUAAUAAUUAUGUGUAGAAUGAAUAUAUGAGAGGCUAAAUCAUGUGACCUGGAAGCAGUAACUUCCGGGCCUUGGUUUCCUCCUCUGUAGAAUAAGGUCUUCCUGGGUCUAACAGUCUGUGAACAAGAGAGCAGAGGUAGAGCCCAACUUCUGAGGAAUUAGAGGGGCCUCCAGAAUGUCCAAACUGGACAUUAAUCAUGAUGGUUUGGCCCCUGCCAAAGCCACGGACAGGCCAAAGCCUGUGAAGCCCUCCACCCUCUGCCAAGGGGACUGGUAUAUACGGUCAAGUUCUCUUUGCCUGCAAGGAGUUGAAACUGACUCUGGCCCACCUAAGCCAAAAGGGGCUCUGGAGGGAUUCUGGGUUCUCUCUGACUUCAAGGGAGUGCUGGCUCACCAGCCCACCUCCCAGCUGAAGUGGAAGGACCUCUCCUCUUUACGGGUGUGUUUGCAACUUUCCCAUGCACGUGAAUUACUCGGUGACCAGGUUAAAACACAGACUGAUGCAUGAUGCUACUCCCAGGUGCUAAAUGACUGAAUGCAUCCAACCUCUGUGUUCCUCUCUUGCCGGGAAAGGGCACUGGAUGGGUCCUGCUCGGGCCAGGUGCCUGCCUCAAAUUCUCAGUAACAGGCAGGGCAGUAGGGGUGCCAACAACAGCCGUAGCCCAGCCCUCUUCCCAUGUAUCUCUCCAGUUAUUCCCAAAGAAGGCUGGGCCUUGGGAUGGGGUGGCCACCCUAAGAGGGGUUGACUGCUGCGGGGGAGCUGCUCCAGCUUCCUGCGCAGUGACCAUCUGAGCUGGUGAAAGGUAUCAUCUUUCAACCUGGAAAGUGAUUUCCAAAGGCCUAGUGCUGGGGGUGGCGGGUGGCGGGUGAGGGGUAGGGGGGAGGUGGAAGAGAGUUUAAAUAGCAGCUGUGUUCCUAAUUUCCCCAGGAGGAGGCCUGGCCGCCCCUCCUCCGUGUUGAGUGUUUGCCAUUAAAAACAAACAGUAUCAUUUGGUUCAAUAUAAAAUGAAUUAAAGGAAAUUAAACUGCGGGGGCCAUGUGGCAAGCCUUGUCCUCCAUUGUCUGAAGCCAUUUUUCAUCUUCCCCAGUGGGGAACAACAGCUUGGGGGGUGUGGAGCUGAGCAGGGCUAGAUAAAUAAAUAAAUAACGCAAGAGAAGCCUCUCUGUCCCAGGCAGGGGUGGAGGCUGGGGUGCAGGAAAUCCCAGGUGCCCUCUCGCUGGGGCCCUGUCCUUACCAUGUCCCUCAGAGGCAGAAUGUAGCCUUUUAGAGUCUCCCAGGGAACGGGGGGAAGGAAAACAAAAUAAAACAAGAACAACAACAAAAUAUAAUGUGCAGGCCUCUGAGACAGAAAGGGGGGCAGGGUAGCUGAGGGAGGAGAUUAUAGACCACAGGGGCUGGGAGAGGAGGGCCCGUGGCGCCUAGAUUGGUGGGGAGCAAUUCUGGCUGUUCCUUGGCCACACAAGAGAGUGGCGGCGGCUGCUGUCAUUUGUGCUGGGAUAACUCAGUCAGGAGGGCAGGGUGUGGAAAGAUGGGCAGAGAGGACUGUGUAGUGGUGAAGAGCCAGGGUUCUGGAGCUAGACUGCUCAAGUUCAAAUCCCAGCUUUGCCAUUUACGAACUGUGUGCCCUCGGCAAGUCACUUACCCUCUCUGUGCCUCAGUUUCCUCAUCUGCAAAUUGGGGGUAAUAAGUAUCUACCUCAUAGAGUUGUUGUGAUGAUUCAAUUAGCUCAUGUCUAGGAAGCCUUUAGAACAGUACCAAGCACAUCAGCUAUUUGUUAUCACUGUAUCAUAUCAUAGAACAUUGCUUAUGUUAUUAUUGUUGGUCCCUGGGGCAUCUCCCUUGGCCUCUGGAAGACCUAGCCUUAAGUCAUAGCUCUGCCACAGACUAGCUGUGUGACCCUGGGUAAGUGAACAUACCUUGCUGAACCUUGGGACCCUCAUCUACAAACCAGGGAUGAUCGUACUGGGACAGAGACUGCUGGUGCCUCCCAAGGUCCAUUCUCCCCUUCCUCUUUCAAAAUAAGAAUCCUGAUUUUUGCCUAGGUCCACUGGCCCCCAGCUGUAAGAUGCUCCCCAGCCCCCCAUGCAGUGAAUGUGACUCAGUGGUGGCCAAUGAGAUGUAAGUGAAAGUGAUGGGAGCAAUUUCCAGGAAGUCACUGACGAAGGGAGAGGGACGCUUAAGACAGCUGAUGCAAAAAUCCUAAGUCAAAUGGUAGCAUGCAUUCAGUAGCAUAUCAAGAAGAUAAUACACUGUGAUCAAGUGGGGUUCGUUCCAAGAAUGCAGCGCUUAAUAGGAAAUUGAAUAAUGCAGUUCUUCAUACUCGCAGAGCUAAGGAGAAAAAUCCCAUGGUUUUUGUUCAAAUUCAACAAUCAUUUUUUUAUUUUCAAAAUGUCAAUAAAUUAGACUUCAUGGAUACUUCCUGGAAACAAUAAAACAUCAAGCUCAGAUCCAACUUCC